AUAAAUAUAGUUUAAAAAACAUUAUAUUUUCAUUAUAAAGUUAAUAACAUAUAAAAUUAUUUAUUUAUU
rnacentral:tRNA from 1 species